rnacentral:lncRNA from 1 species
CUUACUGUCCCUCCAUGUCAGCAUCAACUGGUCAUGGCUUGUGGAGCACUGGCUGUCCCCAGUUUCAGCUGCUGGGAGGAUGCCUGGCUUAUGUGCUCCUACCAGUCCUUGGUUGUGCCUCCUGAAACAGCACUGGACUAUCUUCGAACACUGGCAACUCACUUGUGCAACAAAGGUUGUUGUGAUGGAGACUUGUGGCUGGAGGAAGAUGCCAAAGGGGGGAAGAGAGGUAGAGG